rnacentral:lncRNA from 10 species
AAAAGAAGAGCUGUCCAGAAAUAUUCUCACCCCACACUGUCUGCCUGGUUUAUUCUUUCUUUGACAAAGUGUUAAUUGAGUGCCUACUAUGUGCUAUGCUGGUAACCACUGGAGAUGGUGCAGUAAGCAAGACAGUCAGAGGCCUAUGCUCCUGGACCUACAGCUAUGGAAGGAGAGAUUAUCUCCUCCCUGCUAUCCUUUCUCCCUACAGCCUUCUUUGUGGCUACUUUUAAACAUACAAAGCUGAUUGAGCUGUUCCUUGCUGGAACCCUCCCUGAGGACUCUCCCUAAGCCUCUAGCUGCAGCCUCCUCUGCUACUAUCUGAAGUGGAACAGAACAGAAAUAAGGUCUGUUUUCUUUCCGCUUCGCUGUUCUGUUUCUGUCCAAAACAACCGUCUCUCUGACACCUUCGAGG